GCGACCUCCACCUGACAGUAGUCAUAUGCUUGUCUCAAAGAUUAAGCCAUGCAUGUCUCAGUACAUGCCGAAUUAAGGUGAAACCGCGAAUGGCUCAUUAAAUCAGUUAUGGUUCAUUAGAUCGUGGACACAUUUACUUGGAUAACUGUGGUAAUUCUAGAGCUAAUACAUGCAAACAGAAUUCCUCUCAGAGAUGGGAGGAAUGCUUUUAUUAGAUCAAAACCAAUCGGUGGCGGACGGCUCGUCCGUUCGUCCAUCGUUUGUUUUGGUGACUCUGAAUAACUUUGUGCUGAUCGCAUGGUCAUCUAGCACCGGCGACGCAUCUUUCAAAUGUCUGCCUUAUCAACUGUCGAUGGUAGGUUCUGCGCCUACCAUGGUUGUAACGGGUAACGGGGAAUCAGGGUUCGAUUCCGGAGAGGGAGCCUGAGAAACAGCUACCACAUCCAAGGAAGGCAGCAGGCGCGCAAAUUACCCACUCCCGGCACGGGGAGGUAGUGACGAAAAAUAACGAUACGGGACUCAUCCGAGGCCCCGUAAUCGGAAUGAGUACACUUUAAAUCCUUUAACGAGGACCNAUUGGAGGGCAAGUCUGGUGCCAGCAGCCGCGGUAAUUCCAGCUCCAAUAGCGUAUAUUAAAGUUGUUGCGGUUAAAAAGCUCGUAGUUGAAUCUGUGUGUCACAGUGUCGGUUCACCGCUCGCGGUGUUUAACUGGCAUUAUGUGGUACGUCCUAUCGGUGGGCUUAGCUCCUUGCGGGCGGUCCAACUAAUAUCCCAUCGCGGUGCUCUUCACUGAGUGUCGAGGUGGGCCGAUACGUUUACUUUGAAAAAAUUAGAGUGCUUAAAGCAGGCUACCUUUGCCUGAAUACUGUGUGCAUGGAAUAAUNNAAUAGGACNUGCGGUUCUAUUUUGUUGGUUUUCGGAACCCCGAGGUAAUGAUUAAUAGGGACAGAUGGAGGUCGCUAGAUGGUCGUAUUGCGACGUUAGAGGUGAAAUUCUUGGAUCGUCGCAAGACGGACAGAAGCGAAAGCAUUUGCCAAAAAUGUUUUCAUUAAUCAAGAACGAAAGUUAGAGGUUCGAAGGCGAUCAGAUACCGCCCUAGUUCUAACCAUAAACGAUGCCAGCCAGCGAUCCGCCGAAGUUCCUCCGAUGACUCGGCGGGCAGCUUCCGGGAAACCAAAGCUUUUGGGUUCCGGGGGAAGUAUGGUUGCAAAGCUGAAACUUAAAGGAAUUGACGGAAGGGCACCACCAGGAGUGGAGCCUGCGGCUUAAUUUGACCCAACACGGGAAACCUCACCAGGCCCGGACACCGGAAGGAUUGACAGAUUGAUAGCUCUUUCUUGAUUCGGUGGGUGGUGGUGCAUGGCCGUUCUUAGUUGGUGGAGUGAUUUGUCUGGUUAAUUCCGAU
rnacentral:rRNA from 1 species